UGGUGAGCCGAUAUAUGAUUAAACUGCGAGCAAGGAUGUCAAUUGGCCGCAGCGAAGAAGCAAGUUUGAAGCUUUUUGGAAUUGUAAUACUGUAUGAGCUUCAAUUUUGAUUGUUUUUAUGUUAGUUUUCUUUUCGUUGUCUUCUAUGUGGCAGUUGGUAAGAUUUCUGUGUUCUUGCUCUCUCUGUCUUUUAUUCAGAGGCCCAUUUUAUUGACAUACCAUUUAGGACCUUAGCAUCCUGCAUAUACCAUCGCCAGUGUAGUUUGUAAUCUUGUUUUUAGUAACAUGUCUUAUCUGGUUGAAACUUAUCCUACCACAUUUGGCCCUGAAUUCUGUGUUGUGCUUUGGCUUAUGGAUGUUUCUGAGUUUAAUGGCAAAAAUUUCAAUAUUACAACUCAAACCAGAGUGAGCUUAACAAAAAUAUCUUGGUUCAAAACCAAAACAAUUAUUUGAGGGAGUUGCCAGAUUGUAGAGGAGAGAGAACCGCCUGACUACUGGGGAGAGAGUCACGAAAUUGCAUACGAGAGAUCGUAGGGAAGAGAGAAACACUCGAAUACUUGGGCAAGAGUCACGAAAUUGCAUAUGAGAGUAGUCAUAUUUUAAUGGAGAGAGCACAUUACAGAAAGGGAGGGUCACUGAGGGAAGAGUCAAGCAGAGAAGAGAAAUAGUCAGUUAAAAUAAGUAAAAAAAGGUUUAAGCUUGAGAAUCCGAAUCUGUCAACUACUUGUGAAUUUGUUUUGGUAAAGAAGGUGAGAAGGACAGAAUUCUCCUGUAAAAAGAGAAAGAGGCAGAAUGAAGACUCCGCUCCUCCAGGAGAAGGAGCACCUUGCCAGCUUAUCCCUCGUAUUUAUUGUUAAGGUUUUUCCAACUGCAUAGUCUCUGCAGGAAUAUGAGAAGUUAAGCAGCUAAUGUUUGCCAAUGAGUAGUUGAGUUGUUGAAUUUAUGCAAUUCCUUUUUGAAGAAUUAUUUGUUCAAAUUGGCCAUGUUGGUUUACCCCUAUUUUCAUUUGUCUGCAAUCAGUUUUAGUUGCCGCUGCAUCCACAAUAAUAGCCUUGUCUGCAGAGAAGAUUAAGCCUUUGUUAGGUCUUGAUUCGGAUGGCUGAAACCGGUGUGUUGAACUCUGAUGAAACCACAUGAAUUUGAUUUUUUAAGAUAUGUUGCAGUAUGAGCUCCGUCUUCCUCUUGCAGUUACUGUGUUUGCUCCCAAAGACACGGCACCAGAAGAAUGGUCUCUUCAAGAACCAUGAAUUGAAUUAUGUUCAAAGAAAGUUUCUGGUGUAAACCUCAUGAUAUCUUUCCCUAUUGUGGUUUUGUGAUGCUGACUGUUUAUUUUUUAUUUGGCAGCUGUAGAGGCAGUGAAGGUGCUUCAUAUGAUCAAACUAUGUGGGAAGCCAAUAGGUGUAAAUAAGGUAUUGAACUGUCUUUUCCGAAACCUUUAUUAUUUUUCUAGUUCUGUAAGUUUUGUGCCACAUAGAAAGGUAACAAUUAUGAAAUGCCAUUUAGUAGGGGAAAAGUAUUUCCUUCAGUCUCAACGUAACAAAUAUCAGAUAUGUACUGUAAUUUUGUUGUAUUGUGCUAGUUCUGUGGUUUCAGGCGUUCCAAGACGAAUAGAGCUCGGAUGUAGGAGGAAAUGGAUAACUCUAAUUUAAACCUGAUAUCUAUUGUAAGAUGUGGAUGAGAAGCUCCCUUUCAGUGAAUUAGGAGUCAUAGUUAAGAAUAACGUUGCGUUUUACAUGUGUACAAUGGUAUUUCCUCAUUGUUUCAACAAUUGACAAACAUGGCACUCUCAGGCAGAGAACAACCUUGUAAAUAAGUGAUUGCUCUCCUGCACAGAAGGGUAGAAAGGUAGGUCAAUUUUUGCAAAUUCAGACAAUUUUCUAUACAAUUGAAAGACUGUCCAAAUCCAAUCUCUAGCAAUAUACCUACUAAAUAGGAGGUAGAACCAACCAACCCAUAAUUUAUUAAUGGAAUUCUCAAAUGCGAAGUUUUUAUGAAAUGAUGAAUCGAGACAUCCUUUUGGGUAUGAGCUUCCAUGUCAUGUAGGGCUAGUCCGGUUUGGGAUAUCAAACUGAAAGUCGAAGUCUGAAAAACCACACCAAAGGCUACAAAAUUGCAUUGAAAAUUUAUGGUCCGAUUUAGGAUAUCAAUUUAAGGAUGUGACAAGCCCACCUCAUGUGCAAAUGAGCCCCGUCAAGUAAAAUAGUACAAUUCGACUCUAGCUUUAUCUUCAUGUAUGCAAUUGCGGUGUUAUUUGCACUAGCAUUGUCAACGAUAUGGGUAAAUACAUUGUCUAUGCCCCAAUCAUUUAAGCAUACCUCUAGACACAAUCCACAUCAGG